rnacentral:rRNA from 1 species
UACGGAGGGAGCAAGCGUUACUCGGAAUUAUUGGGCGUAAAGGGCGCGUAGGCGAUUUGAAAAGUCUUGUGUGAAAGCCCCGAGCUUAACUCGGGAAGUGCACAAGAAACUGUUGAAUUUGAGUUCCGGAGAGGAAGGCAGAAUUCCCGGUGUAGCGGUGAAAUGCGUAGAUAUCGGGAGGAAUACCAGUGGCGAAGGCGGCCUUCUGGACGGAUACUGACGCUGAGGCGCGAAAGCUAGGGUAGCAAACGGG